GGAGGCGUAGCUCAGCUGGUUAGAGCGUUCGGUUCACAUCCGAGAGGUCGCGGGUUCGAGUCCCUCCGUCUCCACCA
rnacentral:tRNA from 2 species